rnacentral:ncRNA from 2 species
CAAGCAGGUCAGGUGAUCGCGGCUGUACAGACGAAAGGGUGCAGACGAGGAAAGUCCGGGCUUCAAAGGGCAGGAUGCCGGAUAACGUCCGGUGGAGGUGACUCCCAGACCAGUGCAACAGAAAUAAACCGCCUUCUUUAUGGAAGGUAAG